rnacentral:rRNA from 1 species
AGUGAACGCUGGCGGUAGGCCUAACACAUGCAAGUCGAACGGCAGCACAGUAAGAGCUUGCUCUUACGGGUGGCGAGUGGCGGACGGGUGAGGAAUACAUCGGAAUCUUCUUUUUCGUGGGGGAUAACGUAGGGAAACUUACGCUAAUACCGCAUACGACCUACGGGUGAAAGCAGGGGAUCUUCGGACCUUGCGCGAUUGAAUGAGCCGAUGUCGGAUUAGCUAGUUGGCGGGGUAAAGGCCCACCAAGGCGACGAUCCGUAGCUGGUCUGAGAGGAUGAUCAGCCACUCUGGAACUGAGACACGGUCCAGACUCCUACGGGAGGCAGCAGUGGGGAAUAUUGGACAAUGGGCGCAAGCCUGAUCCAGCCAUACCGCGUGGGUGAAGAAGGCCUUCGGGUUGUAAAGCCCUUUUGUUGGGAAAGAAAAGCAGCAGGUUAAUACCCCGCUGUUCUGACGGUACCCAAAGAAUAAGCACCGGCUAACUUCGUG